rnacentral:rRNA from 1 species
GACGUAGGGUCCAAGCGUUGUCCGGAUUUACUGGGCGUAAAGAGCGCGUAGGCGGUCUGUUAAGUGUGAAGUGAAAUCUCCAGGGCUCAACCCGGAAACUGCUUCGCAUACUGGCAGACUUGAGGAUGCAGAGGUUUGUGGAAUUCCUGGUGUAGCGGUGAAAUGCGUUGAUAUCAGGAGGAACACCAGUGGCGAAGGCGACUACCUGGCCUGUUCUUGACGCUGAGGCGCGAAAGCUGGGGGGAGCAAACGGG